UUUUUUUUGUUUUUUUUUUUUUUAACUUAUUCCAAUUUUUUUGUACGAGCUGAAGAGGAUGGAGGAAGGAGUGAGGGGCUCCCUAGAUCUGACACUAUGUCUUACUGGCUCAUUGGAAUACCUUGUCAUGGUCCUCCUCGGGGCUGCUGCAUUUUUGCUUCAUUUAUUUUCUCCAGCAAUAGAGAACUUCAUAUUUGAGCGUCUAUAUCUGAAGUGAGGGGGAGAAAAAAAGUGGAAGGAUAAAUGCAAGGAGUAAAGAUGAAGAACUCAUUCCAGGAGUUCCCAUUGUGGCUCAGCAGUAAUGAACCUGAUUAGUAUCCAUGAGGACGAGGGUUCAAUCCCUGGCCUCGCUCAAUGGAUUAAAGGAUCCGGCGUUGCCAUGAGCUGUGGCAUAAGUUUCAGAUGCGGCUUGAAUCUGGCAUGGCUGUGGCUGUGGCUGGCAGCUGCAACUCCGAUUCAACCCCUAGCUUGGGAACUUGCAUAUGCCUUGGGUGUGAACUUAAAAAGACCAAAAAUAAAAAUAAGUAAAUGAAAUGUCAUGACCUAAGUGUUUCACUUCCUAUUGCUGUGCAACAAAUUAACACAAAGCUAAACAGCUAAAAAAUAAGUUAUUUUUCUCCCAGUUUUUGUCAGUCAGGUGUCCUGGCACAGCUGAGCUGUGUGCUUUGGGCUUAAGAGAUCAUAAGACUGCCACCAAGGCUUCAAUGGGGCCAUGGUCUCAUCUGAAGGCCCAACCUGGAGAGGACCCAAUUCUAGGCUCCCUGAUGUGGUUCUUGAUGAAAUUCAGUUCCUUGUGGGUUACUGGCCAGAGGCCCCCACAGUUGCUGGCCAUGGGAACCUCUCCAUAAGGCAACUCCUAACAGGGCAGCUGGCUUCCCUCAAAGCAAGGGGGAGUGCCCAAGACGGAAACCUGUCUUUUUAUACCCUGAUUUUGGAAAUGACAUCCCAUCAGCUCUAUGUAUUCUAUUCUCUAGAAGCAAAUCACUGAAUCCAGACCUCCUGCAAAAGGAAAGGAUGGUUCAAGGACAUGAACCAGGAGGUAGGGAUCUUUGGGGGCCAUCCUGGCAAUUACCUGGCAGUAAUUUGUGUUUUGGGUAGAAAAAAACAGAAAAUGCAGGUAUGCCACAUUUCAUAGGCAAUUUUAUCAUGAAGAUUUUAACUAGUUACGUACUCUUUCAUGACUUUUUUCUACACAUUGUGUAGUUUAAAAAUGUAUCAGACAACAAUGACUCUUUGGGAACAUACUCUGUUAACUCAGGAAUAUAUCAUGUGUCAAUAAACAUUGUUCUACGUCAUUUUCAAUGGUUGGAUUUAUUUCAUCAUACAUUCCAUCAAAUGGUCUUUGAUGACUAAUUUUAUGUGUUAACAUGACUGGGCCAUGAGGUGCCCAGGUAUUUGGUUAAGCAUUAUGCUGAGUGUGUCUGUGAGGGCAUCUCUGGAUGAGAUUAACAUUUGAAUUCACAGACUGAAUAAAGCAGAUUGCCUUCCCUGGUGUGGGUGGUUCCCAUCCAAUCCUUUGCAGGCCUGAGCAGAAUAAAAGGCAGGGUAAGGGAGAACUCCCUCUCUCUGCCUGACUAUUUUCCAGUUGGAAAUGAGUCUUUUUCCAGCACAUGAACUUGGACUGGAAAUGACAUCAUUGGCUCUUCUGGUUCUUAGAUCUUCAGAUUUGGACUUAAACUAUAUCAUCUGAUCUCCAAUGUCUCCAGCUUGUAGACAGUUGAUCAUGGGACAUCUUAGCCUCUGUGAUUAUAUGAGCCAAUUCCAUAUAAUAAAUCUUGGAAAAACAAUUCUAAAAUUUGUAUGAAAUCACAGAAGACCCUAAAUAGUCAAAGCAAUCUUGAGAAAGAAGAACAAAGCUGGAGGCAGCACACUUCCUGAUUUCAAAUUAUAUUAUAAAGUUAUAGUAAUCAAAACAGUAUAGUAUUGACAUAAACCAUACCCAGAGAUAGGAUACACAGAAACAUAGAUAAGCGGAAGAGAAUACAGAGCCUGGAAAGAAACCUAUGCAUUAAUGAUCGAUCAAUUUAUGACAAAGGACCCAAGAAUAUACAGUGGGUAAAGGAAGUCUCUUUAAUAAAUUGUAUUGGGAAAACUGGACAGUGACAUGCAAAAUAAUAAAAUUGGAGGCUUAUUUUAUAUCAUACACAAAGAUCAACACAAAAUGGAUUAAAAAGUUAAAUUUUAGGUCUGAAACAAUAAAACUCCUAGAGAAAACAUAGAGGCUAAACUUCCAGACAUCAGUCUUGGCAUUGGCUUUUUUUGCUUUUUUUUUUUUUUCAGGGCCGCACCAACAGCAUAUGGAAGUUCCCAGGGGGUCGAAUAGAAGCUACAGCUGUUGGCCUACACCACAGCCAUAGCAACUUGGGAUCUGAGCCGAAUCUGUGACCUAUAGCACAUCUCAUGGCAAUGCUGGAUCCUUAACUCACUGAGAGAGGCCAGGGAUGAAACCCGCAUCCUCAUGGAUCCUAGUUGAGUUCGUUACCACCGAGCCACAAAGGGAACUCCUGCUUUUUUUUUAAAUUUAACUCCAAAAGCAAAAAUAAACAAGUGGGACUAUGACAAACUAAACCCUUUCCAUAGCAAAGGAAACUAAAAACAAAGUGAAAAGGCAACCUACAGAUGGGAGAAAAUAUUUGCAAAUCAUAUAUCUGACAAGGGGCUAAUAUUUAAAAAAUAGUCAUUUCUUGGUAUCUGCAAGGGAAAGUUUCAAGGAUCCACUGCAGAUACCAAAACCUACAGAUGUUCAAGUCUCAUGAUCAGCUCUCCAUAACUGUAGGUUCUGCAUCUGUGGAAUCAACCAACCAUGGAUUAUAAACAUAGUACUCAAUGUUUACACCAUAUAAAACUGAUGUAAUGCAGGUAUGAAGGGCUGACUGUAUGUAAAACCUCAUACAACUCAAUAGCAAAAAACAAAACAAUUUGAUUUUUAAAUGGGCAGGAGUUCUCUUGUGGUACAGAGUUCCCGUCGUGGCGCAAUGGUUAAUGAAUCUGACUAGGAACGAUGAGAUCGCAGGUUCGAUCCCUGGCCUUGCUCAGUGGGUUAAUGAUCCGGCGUUGCCGUGUGCUGUGGCGUAGUUCGCAGAUGCGGCUCGGAUUCCGUGUUGCUGUGGCUCUGGUGUAGGCCGGUGGCUACAGCUCCGAUUAGACCCCUAGCCUGGGAACUGCAUAUGCCACGGGAGUGGCCCUAGGAAAAGCAAAAG
rnacentral:lncRNA from 1 species